rnacentral:rRNA from 1 species
ACAGCAGUAGCCGCGGUAAUACGUAGGGUGCGAGCGUUAAUCGGAAUUACUGGGCGUAAAGCGUGCGCAGGCGGUUAUAUAAGACAGAUGUGAAAUCCCCGGGCUCAACCUGGGAACUGCAUUUGAGACUGUAUGGCCAGAGUGUGUCAGAGGGGGGUAGAAUUCCACGUGUAGCAGUGAAAUGCAUAGAUAUGUGGAGGAAUACCGAUGGCGAAGGCAGCCCCCUGGGAUAACACUGACGCUCAUGCACGAAAGCGUGGGGAGCAAACAGGAUUAGAUACCCGGGUAGUCCCUGUCUCUUAUAC